rnacentral:lncRNA from 1 species
UUUUUUUUUUAAUUUUUUUUUGUAUCUAGGUUUUCUAAAUGAGUGAUACCUUUUUCCUAACAUUUACUCCCCCUCCCCCCGUGAACAAGCACAGCACUUACCUCAACCUCAUAGUAGCUUUGUAACAGAAGAAUUUAUAGUUGAAGAACUUAAGAUUUUAUGGGAAAAUAGGGUUGAAAAAUGUAAGAUUUGGAUCAAAACAAUGAAAGCAAUGGCAAUCUUACUUUUAUAUUUAUAUAGUAUUUAUAUUUUUUUAUUUUUAUACAACAGCAAGAAUUUUUAAAAGUCCAUUCCAAAUUAUAUACCUAAAAUUGAUCAUAGUGAUUACUAUGCACUUAAUUUGCUGACUUGGAGAUAACAAUGACAUAUUUCCUCCAAUACCUAGAUUCGUGGUAAGAAACAGAGAAAAAAGGGAAGGAGGAGUUUCCCCUCAGUCUUCCUGGCCCCACUAUUACAAGGCCUCGGGGAUCUUCCCUAUAGCUAUACGAGGACAAAGCUAGGGCUCAUGCUGCUCUCCUCUCCCCUCAUUCUUUAGAAGAAUGAAUUAGGAUCUGACAGGAUGGAUUUGUUUAAAAAAAAGAAAAACGGGCAGCCUGGGUGGCUCAGCGGUUUAGCUCUGCCUUCAGCCCAGGGCGUGAUCCUGGAGACCGGGAUGGAGUCUCAGGUCAGGCUCCCGGUAUGGAGCCUGCUUCUCCCUCUGCCUGUGUCUCUGCCUCUAUCUCUCUCUCAUGAAUAAAUAAAUAAAAUCUUAAAAAAAAAAAAAGAAAAGAAAAGAAAAACUACUUAGAAUUAGCUCUUCUUUGCACAAACUAAAUGGAAAAAUCCAGGAAUAGAAAUUAUAUUCUCUAAAGGGAUAAUAAAAACACUAGCCUCAUGAGGGUUAAGUGAAAUAAUUCAUGUAAAAUAACUAGCACAGUGCUGGGCACAGAAUAAACGCUCAGGUAAUGUUAUAUUAUUUGUAAUUUUUGUUGUUGUUAAAAGGAAAUGUUAGUAUAAAGACUUGCCCAAGGUCCUUCCUGAAAUACCUUCUGUGCUUUCCCCUUUCCAUACUUGUUCUUUAAAAUUCCCCUUGUUUGGGGUUAUCCUCCACCCAAGUUUUUCUCACAUCUUAUUUUGUCUGGCAAAUCCUUAUUCAAACAACAAAAUAGUAGUAGGGGAAAAAAAGAGAGAGACGGUAUCUAUUUUCCCCUUCUCAAGUCUUUCCCUUCCUAAGCUCGUGACAGUUAAAUGUAGAAUAAUGAGGAGGAACAUCUUAUACUAGAAAUAAAACUCUCACAAUUGACAAAAAGGGAUUACAAAUAUAUCCAAAUUUACUGAAAUUUCAAAUUAUGAGAACUCAUAUUCAGAUAGGCAUCACUCAGAGUAAUUGUUAAGUGUUAUAUAAGUGGGUUAACGUUUUUCUCAUUUUAACCAAAAAUUAAAUCUAUUAAUUUAUGCAACAAACAUUUGUCAGGGCCCUACCAUAUGCCAAGCACUGUUGCCUAGCAUGGGGAUCCAAAAGUGAACAGGAAGCAUGUAAUUUCUACUUUCACAGAGUUUAUAAUGUAGUAGACAUACAAACAUGUAAGACUUUUAUCAUUUGGUAUAAAAGUAUGAGAAAUCUAAGAGAAGAUAUUAAAGGACAGAUGAAUGGCAGCACACAGAAGGGCUAACUAAUCCAGGCUUCAAGUUGGAGCAGUGAUCAGAAAGAAAUGGUAGGAUUGAUGAAGCCUGAAGAAUGAAUGAAAGUCAGCCAAAGAAGGAGAAAAGGGAAAGGAUUUCAGGCGAAUGUAAAAAAUAGAGCUUGGGAGAACCUAGCAUAUUUGAGGAACUGAGAGAAAUUCAGUACAAUAUGACUAAAGCCUGAAACACAUAUUUGGUCAGAGAGUGUGUGGGGGCAGAGGGAGUAUAUAUAGGUGGAGAGAAAAGGAGCAGUGAGAGCUGAAGGUGGACAUAUUAGCAGCAGCAACAAGUGGCCAUGAUCUUAUGAAGUUUGGGAUUAAGACUACCGGCAAGUGCAUACAUUUAAAGGCUUUAAGCAGGGAAGUAAUAAAUCAGAUUUGCACUUAAAAUGAUUAACUCAGGGGCACCUGGGUUGCUCGGUUGGUUAAGUGUCUGCCUUAAGCUCAGGUCAUGAUCCCAGCAUCCUGGGAUGGAGCCCAGCAUCAGAUUCUCUGAUCAGUGGGGAGCCUGCUUCCUCUCCCUCUGCCUGCUGCUCCCCCUGCUUGUGCUCUUUCUGUCAAAUAAUUUUUUUUAAAAGAACAUUUUUAAAAAUUGAUUAAUCCACUGCGGCAUGGAAAAUGGAUAGAGAAUAAUUAAGAGGUUGUUGCAGUAAGUUAGCUUAUUCUAUUUCUUUUUUAACUUUAAUGUUUCCCUCUCUGAUGAUACCUUACUAUGGGCAUUUAUAAAUCCUCAUGUCUUUCCCAUCUAAAACUAAACCCACCCACUCACUCUCUCAUUGCUCAUCGCCCUACAGUUACUAUUCUAUCUCUCAUAUUAUAUUAUAGUCCCAUUUUUUCAAGUUCUUUCUUCAAAUAACUCCAUGUGGCUCAUGUUUCACUUUCCCCAGAGUCUCAUCUCUAACUAGAGGCUCUCUCUGCGCUUCAUAUAUAACAACACUCACUUCUCUAGCUCUGACAUUUCCUAACCCCAUCACAAUCUGAUAAUGUGGGCAAGGCACUAUGCUAAGGUCAUGACAGCCAUAGGAUGAGUGAAGAAAGUGACACGUAAAAGGCUAACUUGUCAAAGGUCACAAAAUUAGAUAAAUAUAGGUGUCAGAAUUGAAUAUCAGAUAAGCUCAUGAUAUCACAAAGUUGAGGGAGGACAAAUCUAAAACCUACCUUCUAAAAAACUAAAUAAAUAAAUAAAUAAACAAACAAACAAAUAAAAAUAAAACCUACCUUCUUUUCUCUUCAAAGAGAAGACAAAGUCAUCCACUAAGAAUAAAAGAAAGGCAAUGAGACAGGAAAUUUGAGGUGAAUAAGGCCUAAAAUAAUUCCAGGAAAGUAUUAAAGAACUACUAGGCACAAUUAAGGACCCAGAUGAAUCAGAAACUACGGAUUUAUGGGAACCAUGACCCAUAUGAUUUUUCCUCUGAAAUACAAGUGAAAAGGCAAAUUAAGGCAUACAGUUAGAAUAAUGGUUUUCAACAAAAAAGGAUAGGACAGACAAUUUUGUCCCUUUGCGAAAUGUGGCAAUAUCAGGAGACAAUCUGGUUGUCACAAUAUACAGGAAAGAGCUUGCUACUGGCCUCUACCGGAUGCUGUUACAAUCUGACAAUACACAAGACAGCCUCCUACCACAAAGAAUUAUCUGGUCCAAAGCAUUAACAGGUGUGAAACUCUGGAAUAGAACAAUCCAGGUUGGGAGAUUUUCUAGGCACAUGAACAGAAAGGCAACAAGACAAGGAAACUAAAGACAGCUGACUGGUUAAGGGGACAGAUUCUGAAGGUACGUAAAGGAAAAUUUUAGUCUGUGAGAGGCCUUGGAGAGCAUCACCAAUGAGAAAGGCAAAAUGGCCUCUAUCUGAAAUACCUGAAUGGGAGACAUGUCACAAUGAGAGGACAUUCCUAUUGGGCAAGUGCAGAGGUUGGAAAAUCUAAAGUGCACCAAGGAGACAGAUGGUUAGCCUAGAAAAGGCAGUGAUGGAUAAUAAGGUCAGAAGUUCUCAAGCCAAUCUAUGAAGUCCUUCUAUGCCAGACUGCUGGCCAAGAAAUCUACUGAUGUUUUUAAAAAGGAAAUAGCAAAGAUGGGAAUAAUAGUUCAGGAAGACAGAUCUAGAAAGGCAAGCAUUUGAGAUUAAUUAGGGCAGGAGACGAAGAAACUAUUUAUUAAAUUACUAUAGUUAUGUAGGAAUAAUGUGAUAAAGGCUUUGACACUCUUCGACCUUGAAUAAGAAAGGAGAUAAAACUAUCAUUUAUCGUGAAUCUGUGUGAAACCAGCAGGAUUUUAGUAUACAUCAAAUUCAUCAUGCCAUUUAUUCCUCACUUAUAAUUUAGAAAAGAUAUAUUAUUCCCAUUUUACAGACGACAUGGAGAGGUGAAAGGAAGUGCAUAUGGUCAUAGAGCAUGGAUGACAGAACUAGGAUUCACUCCACAAUGACCUAAUUCCAAAAUUCUACUUUUAGGAACUGGUAUAAUAGAAAGUAUAACUUUUUUUCUUUUUUAAAGAGAGUGCUGGAAAUGGGUUUGUAUGUUUGCAUACAUUUAUUUGAUAAUCUUAGUACUCUAUAGUCAGAGCAUGAAUUCAUAUACAUGAACAUUUCUUUAAAUGGACAGAAGGCCCUCCUAGUAUGCCCUGCUUUCAAACCACAAAGUGGGGAUCCAUCAGACCAGAAGAGUAGUCCAGGUGCAUCCUCCUUAGAGCCAAGAAAACAGCAUUUUUAAAUGGCAUUUUAAGCAAUAAUGUUCUAAAGCUACCUCAAAUUAAGGCUUCGGGAAAGAACUAUGGUGCCUAAAAGAAAAUAUAAAAUGCACAUUAGAAAAAAAAGAGGUAACUAUCCUAACAUUUCCAUGAAAAGCCAUUAAGCCCAGCUUCUUUUCAAAAUGGGUUGAAAGUGAAUCUUAAAAAAAAAAAAAAAAAAAACACAAAAAACACAGCUGUCCUGUAUUUAAAGGCAAUACUAACACUACAGUAGGAACACAUUCUCGGAGGUGAUCACAACCAUUUAAUUAGGACAGCAGUAAACAGAGAAAAUAGGAAAAGAGUUUUAUAUAACCUACUUUACGUGAAUAAGUUGGGAUUAACUAUUCUUUUCCCAUCAUUUGAUAACUAAAGAUACAUUACAGUUAUGCUAUAAAAUAGUUUAUGUUGUGGGAAGCUGAGAAAGUGGAUUGGGUGUUUUAAGGGAGGUCGAGGGGGCUUUAGAGCAUUGGUAACAUGCUGUUUCUUACUCUAGGCACUGCUUAUAUGAGUGUGUUCAGUUGUGAAAAUUCAUUGAGAUACAUAUUUAACAUAUAUACUCUUUUCUGUGUGUAUAGUGUGCUUCAAUAAAAAAAAAAAUUGUAGUUGCUGCAAAAAACUAUGUGUGAGGAACCUGACAGAUAGAUGGAAGGUAUAUCAUAUUCAAUUCCUUAAAAAUAAAAGAAAAUAAAGAUGUAGUGGAAAUAACUGAAUAAGAGAAUGAGAAGGAUAGAAGGCUGUGAUCAGUGUGGGAUCAAAUUCAUGAUUUUAGAGCUGGAAGAUUCAAGGUAACUUACAGGACUACCAUUUGUCC